GUCUUUUUGAAUUAUAAUUUAAAGUCUAAUCUGCCCACUGAUAAAUAUUAAAGGGCUGCAGUAUAUUGACUGUACAAAGGUAGCAUAAUCAUUAGUUUUUUAAUUGAAAACUUGUAUGAAAGAUUUGAUGAAAUAUAAACUGUCUCUUAAUUAUUAUUAAAAUUUUAUUUUUUAGUUAAAAAGCUAAANUAAAUUUAAAAGACGAGAAGACCCUAUAGAGUUUAUAUUUCAUUUUAUUAUAAAAAUUUAUAAAAUUAAUUUUUAUAAUAAAAUGAAAUAUUAUGUUGGGGUGACAGAAAAAUUUAAAAAACUUUUUUUAAAAAUUAAACAUUAAUAAAUGAAUAGAUGAUCCAUAAAUAAUGAUUAUAAGAAAAAAUUACCUUAGG
rnacentral:rRNA from 1 species